rnacentral:rRNA from 1 species
CAGAUGAACGCUGGCGGCGUGCUUAACACAUGCAAGUCGAACGCGAAAGGGACUUCGGUCCUGAGUAAAGUGGCGCACGGGUGAGUAACGCGUGGAUAAUCUGCCCUUAUGAUCGGGAUAACAGUUGGAAACGGCUGCUAAUACCGGAUACGCUCAAAAUGAACUUUUUGAGGAAAGAUGGCCUCUGCUUGCAUGCUAUCACGUAAGGAUGAGUCCGCGUCCCAUUAGCUUGUUGGCGGGGUAACGGCCCACCAAGGCAACGAUGGGUAGCCGAUUUGAGAGGAUGAUCGGCCACACUGGAACUGAAACACGGUCCAGACUCCUACGGGAGGCAGCAGUGGGGAAUAUUGCGCAAUGGGCGAAAGCCUGACGCAGCGACGCCGCGUGAGGGAUGAAGGUUUUCGGAUCGUAAACCUCUGUCAGAAGGGAAGAAACUACGUUGUGCUAAUCAGCAGCGUACUGACGGUACCUUCAAAGGAAGCACCGGCUAACUCCGUGCCAGCCGCCGC